rnacentral:lncRNA from 1 species
AAUCAAUAAAAAGAUAAACUCUUAAAAACACACACAAAUUUGUUCUAAGUGGAUUCGGUACCUCGAGGCUCAUUAUCUCUCUUUUGGGGCUCCUAAUGGAGUAAUCUCCAGAAUCUAUUCAAGGGAUAUUCGGAGAUUAGCUGAAUCCUACUCAAGAACAAAUUGACAGAUUUUCCCUCUAAAAAGAUAAAAUUCAGUUCAAAAACUUCAAAGAUUUAAAAGGAAAUUCAGAGAAUCAAAACAUAGUUGAAUGCAUAUGUUGAGGGAGAGAAUCUGAAUUUUAAUCAAGCUAAAUCAUUAAUGACAUAUAAGCCGAACAAUUGAUUGCAUAAUAUGAAGGCUUAUAUAAUUCCAAAUGAAAGGGGGAGCUUUAACUCCGAAAUUUAAUGUUUCACUCCUUUCAAGCUUGGAUAAAUUGAAUUACCAGACAUUUGAAUUCAUUUAUGGAUUUUUAUUUCAUUAUUUAUUGAGUCAAUUCACUUUACAUAUACUCAAAAUUUUGUCAUCAUCAAAAAGGGGGAGAUUGUGGAGUGAUUGAUUAAAACCCCAUUUGAUUUUGAUGAGCUCAAAGC